GGAAGGCAGCAGGCGCGCAAAUUACCCAAUCCUGACUCAGGGAGGUAGUGACAAGAAAUAACAACACUGGAAAUUUUAUUUCUAGUGAUUGGAAUGAUGGGAAUCUAAACCCCUUUCAGAGUAACAAUUGGAGGGCAAGUCUGGUGCCAGCAGCCGCGGUAAUUCCAGCUCCAAUAGCGUAUAUUAAAGUUGUUGCGGUUAAAAAGCUCGUAGUUGGAUAUCUGCUGGAAGCAAUCAGUCCGCCCUAUUUAGGGUGUGCACUUGAUGAAUUCUGGCAUCUAUUAUUCCUAAUGUGCUGAUGACUUUCAGUAGUCAUCAGUGUUGGGAAUAGUACAGUUACUUUGAGAAAAUUAGAGUGUUUGAAGCAGGCUUAUUGCCUUGAAUACUGCAGCAUGGAAUAACAAUAUAGGAUUUCGGUUCUAUUUUGUUGGUUUCUAGGACUGAAAUAAUGGUUAAUAGGGACAGUUGGGGGCAUUCGUAUUUAACUGUCAGAGGUGAAAUUCUUAGAUUUGUUAAAGACGAACUACUGCGAAAGCAUUUGCCAAGGAUGUUUUCAUUAAUCAAGAACGAAAGUUAGGGGCUCGAAGACGAUCAGAUACCGUCGUAGUCUUAACC
rnacentral:rRNA from 1 species